AUGAACGCUGGCGGCGUGCCUAAUACAUGCAAGUCGAACGAAACUUCUUUAUCACCGAGUGCUUGCACUCACCGAUAAAGAGUUGAGUGGCGAACGGGUGAGUAACACGUGGGCAACCUGCCCAAAAGAGGGGGAUAACACUUGGAAACAGGUGCUAAUACCGCAUAACCAUAGUUACCGCAUGGUAACUAUGUAAAAGGUGGCUAUGCUACCGCUUUUGGAUGGGCCCGCGGCGCAUUAGCUAGUUGGUGGGGUAAAGGCUUACCAAGGCAAUGAUGCGUAGCCGAACUGAGAGGUUGAUCGGCCACAUUGGGACUGAGACACGGCCCAAACUCCUACGGGAGGCAGCAGUAGGGAAUCUUCCACAAUGGGCGAAAGCCUGAUGGAGCAACGCCGCGUGGGUGAAGAAGGUCUUCGGAUCGUAAAACCCUGUUGUUAGAGAAGAAAGUGCGUGAGAGUAACUGUUCACGUUUCGACGGUAUCUAACCAGAAAGCCACGGCUAACUACGUG
rnacentral:rRNA from 1 species